rnacentral:rRNA from 1 species
UACGUAGGGUGCGAGCGUUGUCCGGAAUUAUUGGGCGUAAAGGGCUCGUAGGCGGUCUGUUACGUCAGGAGUGAAAACUCGGGGCUCAACCCCGAGCCUGCUUCUGAUACGGGCAGACUGGAGGUAUGCAGGGGAGAACGGAAUUCCUGGUGUAGCGGUGAAAUGCGCAGAUAUCAGGAGGAACACCGGUGGCGGAAGGCGGUUCUCUGGGCAUUACCUGACGCUGAGGAGCGAAAGUGUGGGGAGCGAACAGG